rnacentral:misc_RNA from 1 species
CUCCCUCUCUCUGUGCGGCUCUGAAGUGUGAACGAUGCAGGCGAUUUCGAGACGAUUAGGUCACCAGGCUAUCUCUCCCGCAGCUUCAACUGCAUCUCUCAAAUCAAUUAACCCGCUCUAUUAUGGAGCUGAUCACCCACGGUAUGGAUCUACUCUCGCUCCCAAAGGUGUGGGCCACCUCGUUCGCAAGGGUACUGGUGGAAGAUCUUCUGUUAGUGGCAUUAUUGCUACAGUGUUUGGAGCUACUGGGUUCCUUGGUCGUUACCUUGUGCAGCAACUUGCUAAAAUGGGAUCUCAAGUGUUAGUUCCUUUCCGAGGUUCUGAGGAUUGUCAUCGCCAUCUCAAAUUGAUGGGUGAUUUGGGUCAGAUCGUACCAAUGAAGUAUGAACCAAGAGAUGAAAAUUCAAUUAAGGCUGUUAUGGCAAAGGCCAAUGUUGUUAUUAAUCUUAUUGGAAGGGAAUAUGAGACAAGAAACUACAGUUUUGAGCAAGUGAACCAUGCGAUGGCUGAACAACUUGCAAUGAUUGCUAAAGAACAUGGAGGUAUCAUGAGAUAUAUUCAAGUUUCAUGCUUAGGAGCUUCUUCUUCAUCUCCAUCAAGAAUGCUAAGAGCUAAAGCUGCUGCAGAAGAAGCUGUGUUAAGAGAAAUACCUGAGGCCACAGUUGUGAAACCUGCUGUUAUGAUUGGUACAGAGGAUCGAAUUCUUAAUCGGUGGGCCCAUUUUGCAAAAAAAUAUUCAUUUCUUCCACUUAUUGGAGAUGGAUCUACCAAAAUCCAACCUGUAUAUGUUGUUGAUGUAGCUGCUGCAAUUGUUGCAGCCCUGAAAGAUGAUGGAACCAGCAUGGGAAAAGUUUA